rnacentral:rRNA from 1 species
GAGAGAGAGAGAGAGUCCCUUCCCACCCCACCCCACUCUCCUCGCGCGCCCCCCGCUCCGGAGGGCGAUCUCGGGAGGAACGGCGGGCGUCCCGCGGCGAGUUGUAUUAUAUGGUUGUCGGCCGCGAUUUUGCUGUUAAUCUUGUCAAGUUGGUGAGUACCUGGAAGCUGCAAUGACUGAAAACACCCAGGGCAGUGUCCGGCGGGCCUUUGGAGACCUGACAAAUGUCCUUGGCAAGCGGCCAGCCUCAUGCGAUCUGGAGAAGAAUGCAGGUGGAGUCAAGAUUAGUCGGGUCGAAAAGGUCGCUGACCCUAGGAAAGAGUCUGAUGAAAAGGCAAAGGCCAAUGCUGGGGCAUCAGGAAACCUUUUUGAAGUUCUGGUUGAUGGUAUUGGCAAAGAGGACUUCGCAAGGACUUCAAUUUUCCGUGGAGCCAAGGUUCAGCACAUGGCUGCUCAGGCAGCUGGGCUACUAUCCAAGGAUGAUGAUGACGCGAGGAAUCGUUGCGUAUCUUUGGAUUCUUCUGGCCUCAACGACAAGGCGGAGUCUUCCUUGGAAUCAGAGGGUGGCUGUGAAGGGGAAGAUGAUGAAGACACUGAUAGAAAUCAGAAUUCGCAGUCUUCAUUUGACGCUACAGCUCGUGAUGACAUGACAUGUACAAAUGUCCAGCAUCCUCCAAUGGAGGUUGGUGGCUUGGAAAAAUCAUGUGCUACAAAGUCUUGCACUUGCUCUUUCUGUCUUAAGGCUGCUUUUAUGUGGACUAAUCUCCAUUAUCAGGAUGCAAGAAGCCGGCUUGGUGCAUUGAAGAAGAGCAUAAAGUUUGCUAGAUCGCUAGAGGCAAAGAGGCAAGGAAAUGAAUUCAAUGCAGACAGAUACUCAAAAAGAGCUGCAGAGAUGGGAUUCAAACUAUCUCAACAACAGAGAUCACUCUUUCUUCAUACUGAAAAUGCCCUUGUUCGUGAAUCUGCCCAGCUCCAUUCAGCUGUCGUCAAGUUAAAGGACUUGAGAGACAACUGCAAGAAAGAUCUGAAGAUCUGAUCAUCAAUUCUUCGCCGGGGAGACGAGUCCUGCAUGCACGGUUGUGCUCUGGUAAACUUGUUACCCUGGGAUGUAGUAGGAUAAGCUGGAUCUUUUUGAAUCAAGAUGUGUACGGUAUUUGGUUGUCAACUAGCAAGUUAGGGGGUUCUCAAGUAGGAAAUUCGGCCGUAGAGAUUACUCCUAACUUAAAACAUAGGCCAGCAUCUUAGCCUCUGAAGAUCGUCUGAGGAAAUGCUUUUGUAAAAACCUUAGAGGGAGUUGUGAACUGUAGGUUUGUGACAGGAGUCCUUUCAGUCGCUCAGUCAGCACGUGGAUGUGAGAUAGCACCAUUUUGUUUCCUGCUCUCCAAAGAGCCAAACGGGAAGUGCAAAUAAUGUCAUUUGACUAGUUUUUCCAUGCUUGCUGCUGAUGUUUCCACCGUUUCGUGCUGCAUCCCGUGAGAACUGCAUAUGUUUUUGUCUGCUGCUGUCGAUGAAUUGAUUGCC